rnacentral:rRNA from 1 species
GACGUAGGGCGCGAGCGUUGUCCGGAUUUAUUGGGCGUAAAGAGCUCGUAGGCGGCUUGUCGCGUCGUCCGUGAAAACCCACAGCUCAACUGUGGGCUUGCGGUCGAUACGGGCAGGCUAGAGUUCGGUAGGGGAGACUGGAAUUCCUGGUGUAGCGGUGAAAUGCGCAGAUAUCAGGAGGAACACCGGUGGCGAAGGCGGGUCUCUGGGCCGAUACUGACGCUGAGGAGCGAAAGCGUGGGGGAGCGAACAGGA